GUUGUAUGGUUAAGUGACUAAGCGUACACGGUGGAUGCCUUGGCAGUCAGAGGCGAUGAAGGACGUAGUAACUUGCGAUAAGCCCAGAUUAGGUAGUAACAACCAUUUGAGUCUGGGAUUUCCGAAUGGGGAAACCCACUUACAUAAGUAAGUAUCCUUACCUGAAUACAUAGGGUAAGGAGGCGAACCGGGGGAACUGAAACAUCUAAGUACCCCGAGGAAAAGAAAUCAACCGAGAUUCCGAAAGUAGCGGCGAGCGAAAUUGGACUAGCCCUUAAGCUUUACACGCGUUAGACGAACGGUCUG
rnacentral:rRNA from 1 species